rnacentral:rRNA from 1 species
CGUCACACCAUGGGAGUCUACCGCAAGGAGGACGGUCACCACGGUAGGAUUCAUGACUGGGGUGAAGUCGUAACAAGGUAGCCGUAUCGGAAGGUGCGGCUGGAUCACCUCCUUU